rnacentral:rRNA from 1 species
GACGCUGGCGGCGUAGCCUAACACAUGCAAGUCGAGCGGAGACGAUGCGACGGAUCUGAAGUUUCGGAUGGGAGAGAAGAUGUAGUGUUUAGCGGCGGACGGGUGAGUAACGCGUGAACAAUCUGUCCUCACAGGGGGAUAACACAGCGAAAGUUGUACUAAUACCGCAUGAGACCACAGUGCCGCAUGGUACAGGGGUCAAAGGAGCAAUCCGGUGAAGGGUGAGUUCGCGUCCGAUUAGAUAGUUGGUGAGGUAACGGCCCACCAAGUCGACGAUCGGUAGCCGACCUGAGAGGGUGAUCGGCCACAUUGGGACUGAGACACGGCCCAAACUCCUACGGGAGGCAGCAGUGGGGAAUAUUGGGCAAUGGGGGAAACCCUGAACCCCCAGCAACGCCGCGUGAGGGAAGAAGGUUUUCGGAUCGUAAACCUCUGUCCUUGGUGAAGAGUGAGAGACGGUAGCCAAGGAGGAAGCCCCGGCUAACUACGUGCCAGCAGCAGC